AACGAACGCUGGCGGCAUGCCUAACACAUGCAAGUCGAACGAGACCUUCGGGUCUAGUGGCGCACGGGUGCGUAACGCGUGGGAACCUGCCCUUAGGUUCGGAAUAACUCCCCGAAAGGGGUGCUAAUACCGGAUAAUGUCUUCGGACCAAAGAUUUAUCGCCUUUGGAUGGGCCCGCGUUGGAUUAGCUAGUUGGUAGGGUAAAAGCAUACCAAGGCGACGAUGCAUAGCUGGUCUGAGACGAGGACCAGCCACAAUGGGACUGAGACACGGACCAGAAUCCGACGGGAGGCAGCAGUGGGGAAUAUUGGACGAGGGGCGAAAGUCUGAUCCAGCAAUGCCGCGUGAGUGAUGAAGGCGUUAGGGUUGUAAAGCUCUUUUAGCCGGGAUGAUAAUGACAGUACCGGGAGAAUAAGCUCCGGCUAACUACGUG
rnacentral:rRNA from 1 species